rnacentral:rRNA from 1 species
UUUAAAUUGAGAGUUUGAUCCUGGCUCAGGAUGAACGCUGGCGGCGUGCCUAAUACAUGCAAGUCGAACGCUUUGUGGUUCAACUGAUUUGAAGAGCUUGCUCAGAUAUGACGAUGGACAUUGCAAAGAGUGGCGAACGGGUGAGUAACACGUGGGAAACCUACCUCUUAGCAGGGGAUAACAUUUGGAAACAGAUGCUAAUACCGUAUAACAAUGACAACCGCAUGGUUGUUAUUUAAAAGAUGGUUCUGCUAUCACUAAGAGAUGGUCCCGCGGUGCAUUAGCUAGUUGGUAAGGUAAUGGCUUACCAAGGCGAUGAUGCAUAGCCGAGUUGAGAGACUGAUCGGCCACAAGUGGGACUGAGACACGG